GCGUGCCUAACACAUGCAAGUCGAACGAAGCACCUUUUAAGAUUCUUCGGAUGAUUGAUUGGUGACUGAGUGGCGGACGGGUGAGUAACGCGUGGGUAACCUGCCCUGUACAGGGGGAUAACAGUUGGAAACGGCUGCUAAUACCGCAUAAGCGCACGAGAGGACAUCCUCUUGUGUGAAAAACUCCGGUGGUACAGGAUGGGCCCGCGUCUGAUUAGUUGGUUGGCAGGGUAACGGCCUACCAAGGCGACGAUCAGUAGCCGGUCUGAGAGGAUGAACGGCCACAUUGGAACUGAGACACGGUCCAAACUCCUACGGGAGGCAGCAGUGGGGAAUAUUGCACAAUGGGGGAAACCCUGAUGCAGCAACGCCGCGUGAGUGAAGAAGUAUUUCGGUAUGUAAAGCUCUAUCAGCAGGGAAGAUAAUGACGGUACCUGACUAAGAAGCUCCGGCUAAAUACGUGCCAGCAGCCGCGGUAAUACGUAUGGAGCAAGCGUUAUCCGGAUUUACUGGGUGUAAAGGGUGCGUAGGUGGCAGUGCAAGUCAGAUGUGAAAGGCCGGGGCUCAACCCCGGAGCUGCAUUUGAAACUGCAUAGCUAGAGUACAGGAGAGGCAGGCGGAAUUCCUAGUGUAGCGGUGAAAUGCGUAGAUAUUAGGAGGAACACCAGUGGCGAAGGCGGCCUGCUGGACUGUUACUGACACUGAGGCAC
rnacentral:rRNA from 1 species